CUAUCAGCUUCUCAAAGUGCAUCGACUGAGGUAGGUGACACUAAUUCAGCAAGCCAAUUAAGUGAAAUGGAUAUUUGGGUGCAAUCUGUUGGUGGAAAGAAAAAAAGGAAGGGUUGCAGGCCUUGGCUCCUUGGGUCGAUCUGUAAAAGCGCAAGCCAAUUAAGUGAAAUGAAUAUUUGGGUGCAAUCUGUUGGUGGAAAGAAAAAAAGGAAGGGUUGCAGGCCUUGGCUCCUUGGGUCGAUCUGUAAAAGCACUUAAGCAUUCGACAUCUACUUUACCAAGAGAAAUUGAUGAGAUGAUUAAGUCUCAGGUGCAUGCUUCCAAUGCUAACUUAUAUGCUCAGUUGAAAAAAGAGCGGCGCAAAAACAAAAAGAUGAGGAAGGAACUAGACUUAUUGAAGAAAUAUGUGAAUUUCAAUGCAUCAUCUUCAAAUGAGUUAUCAUCUCAAGACAAAAAGAGCGGCGCAAAAACAAAAUGAUGAGGAAGGAAUUAGACUUAUUGAAGAAGUAUGUGAAUUUCAAUGCAUCAUGUUCAAAUGAGUUAUCAUCUCAAGAAGACAAUCAAGGAUCUGAGGAUGAAAGUGACAAUUACUUUGAUAAUGUGAAUGAAAUUGGUUCUGACCCUGAUAACGUGAAUGAAAGUGAUUAUAAUUAGGAUUGAGAUGUUCAUUAGACUAUUAAGUUUUAUAUUUGAGAUAUUUUGCUUUUUGAUGAAGGAUUAUAUGUUAUUAAUAUUAAUGUUAUGAAUUAUAUUUUGUCUUUGUUAUAAUUAUAUUAGAAGUCUGUGGAAUGUUGUUAUUAGUAUUAAUGUUAUGAAUUAUGCUUUUUCUUUGUUAUAAUUAUAUUAGAAGUGUGUGGAAGAAUGAUUACUUGCGAAUUUUU
rnacentral:lncRNA from 1 species